rnacentral:rRNA from 1 species
AGAGUUUGAUCAUGGCUCAGGACGAACGCUGGCGGCGUGCUUAACACAUGCAAGUCGAGCGGUAAGGCCCUUUCGGGGGUACACGAGCGGCGAACGGGUGAGUAACACGUGGGUGACCUGCCCUUAGCUCUGGGAUAAGCCUGGGAAACUGGGUCUAAUACCGGAUAUGACUCCAUGACGCAUGUUGUGGGGUGGAAAGCCUUGUGCGGCUAGGGAUGGGCCCGCGGCCUAUCAGCUUGUUGGUGGGGUGAUGGCCUACCAAGGCGACGACGGGUAGCCGGCCUGAGAGGGCGACCGGCCACACUGGGACUGAGACACGGCCCAGACUCCUACGGGAGGCAGCAGUGGGGAAUCUUGCGCAAUGGGCGAAAGCCUGACGCAGCGACGCCGCGUGGGGGAUGACGGCCUUCGGGUUGUAAACCUCUUUCAGCCCUGACGAAGCGAGAGUGACGGUAGGGGCAGAAGAAGCACCGGCCAACUACGUGCCAGCAGCCGCGGUAAUACGUAGGGUGCAAGCGUUGUCCGGAAUUAUUGGGCGUAAAGAGCUCGUAGGCGGCCUGUCGCGUCGGCUGUGAAAACUUGGGGCUCAACCCUGAGCUUGCAGUCGAUACGGGCAGGCUAGAGUUCGGCAGGGGAGACUGGAAUUCCUGGUGUAGCGGUGAAAUGCGCAGAUAUCAGGAGGAACACCGGUGGCGAAGCGGGUCUCUGGGCCGAUACUGACGCUGAGAGCGAAAGCGUGGGGAGCGAACAGGAUUAGAUACCCUGGUAGUCACGCCGUAAACGUUGGGCGCUAGUGUGGGAUCCCUUUCACGGGUUCCGUGCCGCAGCUAACGCAUUAAGCGCCCCGCCUGGGGAGUACGGCGCAAGGCUAAACUCAAAGGAAUUGACGGGGCCCGCACAGCGGCGGAGCAUGUGGAUUAAUUCGAUGCAACGCGAAGAACC